rnacentral:lncRNA from 1 species
UUUAAAACCUUUCUAAAAAAAACAGAGAGAAUUCUCUCUCAAACACCCCCCACCCACGGUCAAGGUUUUCGGCCGUGACCCCGUCGCUAGCGGUGGCCGGAGCAGCAGAAAAAUGGGUUUUAAAACCCGCGUCGACGAUCGACUGAAGGCCGAGCCUUCGUAGCCCUAAGGCCGUGGGAAGAAACCCCAAACGCCACACCCUUCUGACCUGAUUUCGGUAACCCGAAGGAGUCCGACAAUGGCGCAUGCAUGGGCGAUUUUUGGGUAUGUUUCCUUCUUCCCCCCUUUUCUAUUCAUUUCUUUUUAUUUAACAGAUUCGUGAAAUAAAAUAAAAAUAAAAAUAAAAAUAAAACGAAAAUGAAAAGUAAAUAGAAAAAAAAAAUCAACCUUUGUUGUUCUUAUUUUUGAUAUUCUAAGAUGUGUCCGAAAAACUACAAGUGCUAGCUUGGGGGUUUUUAUAGCCCGAUUUACAAAUGCUUAAACUAUUUCGUUUGUCGUUUUGCAACUUUUUUUUUGUUUUCUGUUUGUUUCUAUUUUGUUUGUUGCUUCUGCUGCGUUGGUUGCGUGUGCCUCUCUGUUUGCAGGUCGUUGAUGCACGAGGAAAGCCAAC